CGAAGGGGGCAAGCGUUGUUCGGAAUUACUGGGCGUAAAGGGCGCGUAGGCGGCUUAUCAAGUCAGGCGUGAAAUUCCCGGGCUCAACCUGGGGGCUGCGCUUGAUACUGAUUGGCUUGAAUGCGGGAGAGGAUAGUGGAAUUCCCAGUGUAGAGGUGAAAUUCGUAGAUAUUGGGAAGAACACCGGUGGCGAUGGCGGCUAUCUGGCCCGUAAUUGACGCUGAGGCGCGAAAGCGUGGGGAGCAAACAGGAUUAGAUACCCUGGUAGUCCACGCCGUAAACGGUGAAUGCUAGACGUUGGCGAGCAUGCUCGUCAGUGUCGGAGCUAACGCAUUAAGCAUUCCGCCUGGGGAUACGGUCGCAAAGAUUAA
rnacentral:rRNA from 1 species